CCGAUCAAACACUCAACAAGUUUGCUGAGGAGCACUGAGUUCUCUUUUGAUAACUCAUUUUUGUCGUCUGUGGACAGAAAACCCAGCGGAGACACUCAUUAUCAGGUAUUAUGAAAUGUAUCCCCUGGAGGAAUAUGGGAUGACCCCCGACAUUUCCUACAUCUCAGGCAGGUGUAUGACAUGAUGCACAGUAUUUGCCCUACAAUCCCCAUGCCAGAAUAUGAUGCAAAACAUUAUAUGCAUCUUCAACAGAGAUUUUAUAUGAUACAUAGCAUUUCAUACACCCGUUAAAGCAGUAUUAUAGGAUGCAC